rnacentral:lncRNA from 1 species
UCAAAUUUUAACAACCAAAGAUUAAUUCAACUUUUGUCACCAAGAAGUACAAGGAAUCCAUUUCUUUUACGUCUCCAGCGAAGAAGUAGAAGCUGAAAGGAUUCUACAAGAAAAAUGAUUUGAAAAUGACCACACAGUUGCUGGAACACGAGAAAAUCACCAUUUUUUGCCUAUCAAUUUCAAGCAUAUUCAAGUUAGCAGGGUGUCAAAUGACACAACCUCUUUUAUUGCCACAGUUGAUCAAUCUGAAGCAGGUCCUGUCACACCAGUUCAGAGUCUUAGUCCUGGUCAAUACAUUGCCUGCGUCUAUGAUAACCACUAGUAUAUCGGCAACAUAUGUCAAGUUUCUAUUGAACAAAAUGAUGCAGAAAUCAAAUUCAUGAGCCCUUCUGGACCAGCUCACUCCUUUUCUUGGCCUGAAAGAGAAGAAAUAUGUUAGGUUCCUGAACAACAUAUUAUCAUGCAUAUUCCAGCUCCUAUAACCAGAACAGGGCGACAGUAUAAUUUACCAGAAACUCUAUUGCAAAGCAUUCAGGAACAGUUUAAUUCCAUGAUGCAAUGAUUGUGAAUAGAACAGGCUUGGGAACCAAGAUGAAGAAACCCAACUGAGGCUUUGGAACCUAGACAAAGAAACCAACAAUGAGGCUUGGGAUCCUUGAGAAAAUUUCCAACCCGUGGCUGGACCUGC